UAGAAUUCCACGUGUAGCGGUGAAAUGCGUAGAGAUGUGGAGGAAUACCGGUGGCGAAGGCGGCCUUCUGGACAGAUACUGACGCUGAGAUGCGAAAGCGUGGGGAGCAAACAGGAUUAGAUACCCUGGUAGUCCACGCUGUAAACGAUGUCUAUUUGGAGUUUGUUGCCUAGAGUGAUGGGCUCCGAAGCUAACGCGAUAAAUCGACCGCCUGGGGAGUACGGCCGCAAGGUUAAAACUCAAAUGAAUUGACGGGGGCCCGCACAGGCGGUGGAGCAUGUGGUUUAAUUCGAUGCAACGCGAAGAACCUUACCUGGUCUUGACAUCCACAGAAUCUUGCAGAGAUGCGAGAGUGCCUUCGGGAACUGUGAGACAGGUGCUGCAUGGCUGUCGUCAGCUCGUGUUGUGAAAUGUUGGGUUAAGUCCCGCAACGAGCGCAACCCUUAUCCUUUGUUGCCAGCGAUUCGGUCGGGAACUCAAAGGAGACUGCCGUUGAUAAAGCGGAGGAAGGUGGGGACGACGUCAAGUCAUCAUGGCCCUUACGACCAGGGCUACACACGUGCUACAAUGGCGUAUACAAAGGGAGGCGACCUCGCGAGAGCAAGCGGACCUCAUAAAGUACGUCUAAGUCCGGAUUGGAGUCUGCAACUCGACUCCAUGAAGUCGGAAUCGCUAGUAAUCGUGAAUCAGAAUGU
rnacentral:rRNA from 1 species